rnacentral:rRNA from 1 species
GAUGAACGCUAGCGGCAGGCUUAAUACAUGCAAGUCGAGGGGCAGCAUAAGUAGCAAUACUUGAUGGCGACCGGCAAACGGGUGCGGAACACGUACGCAACCUUCCUUUAAGUGGGGAAUAGCCCGGGGAAACCCGGAUUAAUACCCCGUAAUAUUAUGAUGUGGCAUCACUUUAUAAUUAUAGAUUCAUCGCUUAAAGAUGGGCGUGCGCCUGAUUAGGUAGUUGGCGGGGUAACGCCCACCAAGCCUGCGAUCAGUAACUGGUGUGAGAGCACGACCAGUCACACGGGCACUGAGACACGGGCCCGACUCCUACGGGAGGCAGCAGUAAGGAAUAUUGGUCAAUGGACGCAAGUCUGAACCAGCCAUGCCGCGUGGA